rnacentral:rRNA from 1 species
GAUAGCAUAAGGGCUCCACCUCUUCCCAUUCNGAACAGAGAAGUUAAACCUUAUCACGCCGAUGGUACUGCGAAAGCGGGAGAGUAGGUAAUCGCCACCU